AAACCUUAAAAUGGUUGGGAGAAAGCAGGGUUUACUGCCCUUAAGCAGUCUGUUGUCCGGUCAUGCUUACAUAAUGGCAGUGAAGUGUUAAUUAGGUAACUAUACUGUGUUUUAUUUUCUUCAUUGUAGUGUGUAUCAUUUUUUCUCCUUUAACUUGAGGGGAAAUGUUCAAGUGUUGAUUCAGACUCGUACCAUCUCAUUGCUCUAAUACCUCUACCAAGUUCCUUUAAGACAGACCAUAGGAACGGAGUGGUGAGCUGGUGGUUGAUUUGUGGGUGGUGUCAUGAAGUCACACAAUGACUCAAAACAGAUCACACACCAAGUCAGGGAGAAGCUGGGUCUGGCCCCCAGAGUGAGCUUUCCCCCGCCCUGGAAUCCAGGGUAUCACUGGCAGAAGGAGUUUUGCAAGAAACGGAAAGGACAUUAGACUUGAUUUCUAGGAAAAAGCAUGAUUGGAAAAGUUGCCAGAAAGAAAGGCUUGUAAAAACUGCUGAGCAUAAUAGAAAAGGCUUUUGAAAUUUUGUUUUUAUCCAGAAGUCUUCGUUACAUGAAGAAGUUGAUUCAAGAUAAAAAAAUCUUCUCCUGUGAUUCUCAUAUUGCAUUUAUUCAUGCUUACUUAUUUCCUAAUGUGUUCCAAAAAGGGGUUGCUGCAAGUCCGCUUUUCUACAAAACGGAGAAGGGAGAAUUAAAAAAGAGGCGGGCCACUCUCAACCCAGGCAAGGCAGUGGUGAGCUCUGCUGAAGAAAUAUGCAGAUAUGACUUCAGAGCUUUGCAGAUAACAGCUGAGAAAUCACAGAGAGCGACAGGCAGAUAAGCAAGUUAUGACACAGAUAACAUUCAAAUACCCAUUUCUUAAAGAGAUUAUGCAUAUUUGAAAUAGACGGAGGGAUAAAUUCCUACAGGAAGAACAUAUAAGAAAUUAACAUCAUUCUACUUUUUAAAACAGAGCAACUAAUUUGUAAGCUCAGGGACAUCUGUGGAUACAAUGUAUUGUCAUUUCUGCCUGACAUUCAGGAAUGUGCAUUCUGGCUAUCUUGGUGGAGAAGAGUGUAUAAUAUAUGACUGGAUACUAUUGUUGUCAGACGUACCCAGAUUUGUUGAAACAAACAACAUCCAUUCUCAGCCUGUGGGAUGGUCUCUGGUUGAGGCAGAGGACUCUGUCCUGGACCUUGACUUUGUCCUGUUCAAGAAUUUUAUCCUUGACUCAUAUGAAGAAAGAAUAUAGAAUGAGAACUGUUCAUGGGAAAAGAUCUGGGAGCCAAAAGAUACAGCAGCUACAGACAAUGAGAGUUCAGAGGCAGGCAAGGUCUAGAUUGAGUGUAAAGAACUUGCCCGUGUGCUGUUGGGUCUGAGUCUGGAGUCGGUGGCAGACUUACCAUUUAAGGAAGACAUUGAGAGUCAGGGCUGUGGUCAAAGCAGGUGUUCAAGGUGGUUACAACACUGGAAAGUGAGCAUUGCACAAAAUUAUGGGUUGAUUUAUGGAAGGGUAGAGAAGAGAGAGUUUUCUUCAGAUCUUGGAAGAUAUUUUAUAUAGAAGUGUGACUGAGUAGUUCUGAGUGGCACCAAAGGCCAGAAAUAGUUCUCCAAACCCACUCUUCUUCACUCUUCACUCUCUCAGUUUAUAGCAACUCCAUUCUAACAGGCCUUCCUCUGAGCAUCCUACAAAAAGAUCAGCCCAUCACUCUUUUUUUCUCCUUACCCAUCUCCCUACUGUGUUUUUCUUCAUAGCACGUGUUAGCACUAAAUAACUCUGUGUACUUAUUUUUAGGCAGCUUUUGAGAAGCAGUAUAAGUUGGUGUAUGAUGCUAGGCUGUGGAGUCUGACUGCCUGGGUUCAAAGCCUAGUCCUGUUUCUUUCCUGUAACUUUAGGUACGUGUGUUAACCUCUCUGAACUCUAUUUCCUCCUCUAUGAAACAGGGGAUAAGAUAAUAAUUGUAUCUACUUUGUAGGGUAGUGCAAGCACUAAAUAAAUUAAUUCUUGCAAAGGACUUAGAAGAAUUCCUCCCUAAGUACUCAGUAACCAUAACUCAGGUGUUGACGAAGGGGCUGGUGGGUCCUUGAUUGGGAGUGAGGUACAGUUUAUCUCUGCUUUGGUUGGGAUGUUGGACUGUCAAGAUGCUCUGUAGCUUCUGAAGAGGGAAAUGAUCUUAUAAAGUGACAAAGGUCAUCACUGGGCAAGAAGUGCAACUGAGGAACUACUGAGUCCACUGACCUUAUAAGGUGCCAGGUCAGACUCUUCUGGGUUUAAAUAACAGAAAUAGAAUCUGGGGCUUGCAACUCCUUGGGAAGCUGAACAAUCAGGCAUGACAAGCACGCAGGAAUUGUUACAGUAAGUAGCUAGUCAGGUGUGAGCAGGGCAGGAGGUGGAUCUGCCUAAUAAUGUGGGGCAACCAUCAGGUGAUGAUCAGGUGGUUUUCAACUGUCUCUCUAAAAUAAUAAUUGGUUACAGCCAGUGCCAGGGAAAGGCAGUCUCCCUAUAGAUAGAAAAAACCUGAAACUGGUGAUCAGUAGCUUCCUGAUAAAAUUUCAGGAGUUGGGCGAGUGAGCUCAGGCAUGUGCAUUAAGAGGCAAAAUGGUGGAGUUUAACUUGUAUAUGACCUUCUGCGGGCAUUGCACCGGAAUGGGAAGAACGCCUCAAGUGAGCAUGUGUAAAGACACUGACGCUCCCCUCCCAAGCACUAGCAGGCCAUUACACAUGCAGAAAACCCACCCCAAAGGAAGAAGCGGGGAGAAGGGAUCCAAGACCCCAGAAGUAUGCCAACAUAUAAAACUCCAAGCCAAAACAUCAAAUCCCACACUUGUCCUCCAAGACACUCGCUUAGCCCUCUUCCAAGUGUACUUUACUUUCUUUUCAUUCCUGCUCUAAAGCUUUUUAAUUAACUCUCACUCAUGCUCUAAAAUUUGCCUCAGUUUCUUCUUCUGCCUUAUGUCCCUCAGUCAAUUUUUUUCGUCUGAGGAGGCAAGAAUUGAGGUUGCUUCAGACUUGUACACAUUCGCUGCCGGUAACUCAGAUACCCAUCACUGAAAACAGAACCAGGUUGGCACCUGUGGGUCAUGAGGCAGGAAAUCAAGGUGCUUUUUUCAUAACUCAUAGCUUCAUUAGACGACUACUCUCUAAGUCACUAGGUUGACUUAUGGCUGAAAGAAAUCUGUAUCUGGCACCAUCUGGUGUUUGAAGGAAAGGAAGUGCUGCUGUCAGCAUUUGUUCCAACACUUCACCUUAUCAUGACACUAAGAAAACCUCAGGCUGGCAAUGACAUCCAAAGGGGUAGAAGCAGUUUUCUAAAUGGUACUGGUAUCUCUACUGGUAUCUCUGGAAGAAAGAGUUCAGUUGGCUCCUGUAGUAUGUAGGAGGCAGACUCUCUCUUACCAAGAUUCACAAAAAUGAGAAAUUCUUCCAAAUAGAAUGUGGGUUUCUGUUAUGGUUUGAAUACGUCGCUUUCAAAAUUCAAGUGGUGCCAAUAUGACAGUAUUAGGCGAUGGGAGCCUUUCAGAGGUGAUUAGGCCAUAAGGGCUCCUCUGUCAUUCAUGGGAUCAAGGCACUUAUUAAAGAGGCUUCUGCCAGCAUUCAGUUGGCUUGCUAGCCUGCUCUUCGGCUCUCUCUUGCCCUCCCACCUUCUGCCAUGUGAGGUUGCAGCAAGAAGGUCCUCACCAGACCAAAUACCAGGAUCUUGAUCUUGGACUUUCCAGUCUCCAGAACUGUGAGAAAAUAAAUUUCUGUCCUUUAUAAAUUACCAAGUCUCAGGUAUUAGUUUUAGCAGCACAAAUGGACUAAGACAGUUAGUUGCUGGCCAGCUGGACAGUGUGGCAGAAGUCCCCUGUGUACUGCCCCACUUCCCCACCACAUGAAUGCUCAUAUUCCCAGUGAGCUCCAGGUGUUGGGAGGACAGCCUUGCCCUGCAGAUCUGGCUCAUACUGUGGAUUUGCGCUCAGUCCCCAUUCAGCAGCUUCUCUUUUUGCUAGUUCUUCAACUCCCAGUUAUGCUGGUUGGUGAUAUGUAAUGUGUCACUUUGCUGGCACGAGAUUAUUUAGUUUUCAUGGUAGCCUUAAUAAUCUUGUGACACCAAUAACUGUUCUAUAAUAGUAAGAAAAAUAAUGGCUACCAUGUUAAAAAAUGUAUCAGAUACCAAGCAUGGUACCUGGGUGUUUAUAUGUGAUAUUUCUUUUAAUCUUCAUUUCCUUGAGGAAGAUAUAAUUUUUUCCAUUUUGUAAGUGAGGAAACAGAGGUCAGUAAUCAUUAAGUAACUUUCCCAAGGUCCCAGAGCAAGGAAGAGUAGGAGCUUGGAUUUCUAAGCCUUUGUCUGACUCCAGAGCCUGAGCUCUAAACACUGUACUAUAUUCUCCCAUCAUGCAGAUGGGAAAAAGAAAGGUGAGUUUCACCAUUACCUUUGUAAAAUGCCAAUAGUAGAUUCCUUAGGCUAGAGCUUGCUCUUCUCUAACUCACUGUAAUGUUUACUUUUGAAGUAGAGAAACUCCGUAAGCAUGAAACCAAUGUAAGCUUGCCCUCCAGCGCAGCCACAUAGAUACGCUCAAACCACACCAGGCAGACAUAAGCCACCCAGUCAAGGUGGACUGUGAGAGGGGCAGGUGGCAGUGUCAGCUCUAAUAUCUUGUCCUGGCCACAGUCUUUCUUUCCCUACCUGGAAGAACAUGCAAUGCAUUGCCCGCUUCCUUUCCCCUGUCUUGCUUGUCUUGGUUUUUCUCUUCUCCUCCCUUUCCCUCUCCCUCUCCUCUUCUCUCUUUUCUUCCCUUUUUUCUUCUCUCUCCCUCUUGCUUUCUUUCCUUUCUAGCUUAACACUAUUCCCCACCUUAUCCCCUGGAAUUUUGCCCAGGUACUUUAGAAGAAUCUCCCUCCUUUACUUCCUUUUCUUUUUUCCUCCUUUAUCUCUUUUAUUUGUUUAGUCCAUUUGUAGACCAUUUUUAAAAUUAUCAUUGAUAAAUGCAUGAAUAUUGCCACCAAAACAUCAGUGGAAAGGAAUGUUCUAUAUCUGAGGGUGAAAUUAGGCAACUGGUAUAGUCAGGAUCAAAAAUCCUGGAAGUCAUUUUAGAAAAUCCAGGUCUGGCGUGGUGCCUCACUCCUGUAAACCCAGCACUUUGGGAAGCUGAAGCGGGUGGGUCAUUUGAGGUCAGGAGUUCGAGACCAGCCUGGCCAACACGGUGAAACUGAAAAAAAAAAAACAAAAAACAAAAAUUAGCUGGGUGUGGUGGUGGGCUCCUGUAAUCCUAGCUACUUGGGAGGCUGAGGCAGGAGAAUCGUUUGAACCCAGGAGAUGGAGAGUGCAGUGAGCUGAGAUUGUGCCAGUGUACUCCAGCCUGGGUGACAGCGUGAGACUGUCUCAAAUAAAAGAAAAAAAAAAAAAGAAAAUCCACACAAGUUUUUAGAUACAUCUGAAUACAAUUUUAAUGAAAACUGCUUUUUUCUCAAGCACUGAAAUGAGUAAAAACAUUUAGUGACGGGCAGUCGGCUAAGACUGGGAAAGCAGAAAAAUAAUUAAAUAAGAAAAAAAAUCAUGCACUCAAAGAACUCCCAAUCUAGUUUUACCCAUUAUUUAAAAUCAUUUUGACAUUCAUUCCUAGUAUCAGAGUUAUUUUUCUCUCCCUACUAGGUGACUUUUCUUUCAACUACAUUUUGGAUGGGAAUUUUUGCAGGUGGUUUUGGAACCCAGCCACCUUUUAUAAAAACAAUUCUAUGGGAAAAUGCAUUUUUAAGUUCACAGAAAUGGACUUGGACACGAAUGGAACACAAUCCCUUUGUACAUGAAGGCUGCUCUGUGAGCUUCAUUGGACGACUACUCUCUGUCACUAGGUUGACUUAUGGCUGAAAGAAAUCUGUAUCUGGCACCACCUGGUGUUUGAAGGAAAGGAAGUGCUGCUGUCAGCAUUUGUCCCAACCCUUCACCUUAUCAUGACACUAAGAAAACUCCAAGCUGGCAAUGACAUCCACAGGGGUAGAAGCAGUUUUCUAAAUGGGACUGGUAUUUCUACCAGCCAUUCAGUUUGAUCUUUGGGUUUUAGCUUUAUGUCUGUCCUCCUGUUACAGCCCUUCCCUGCCACCUUUCCUGGCUCCUGCCACUCUGUGACACUUUCCUCUACCACAUGAGUGGGUCACUUUAUCCACAGAAAUCAUGUGGUGGCCUGGGAAUGCUGUAGCUGUGGAGUGGCCGGCAGGGGAAGGGAGAGGAGGGCCCCUGAGAAUCUUGGUUGUGCACUGACAGCAAUUGGAGCAGGGUGAAAUAGAUAAGGGCCAUGAGAGGGCUGUGUCAGCUGUGGCUAGCACUGUUAGGAUGGUAAUGAUGAUGAUGAUGCCAGAUGGAAAGCUUGGGCAGGGAAAGAAUGGAGGAAAGGAAAGAGGGGAGUGUCAGAUUCUUCUGUUACUGGAAGGCUCGUGAAAGAAACAGCAGUACUGGGUAUUUCAUAAUACAUGCCACUGGGUGAGAAAAUGAGUUUCCUGAAACUAUUAUUUUAAAAAUGGCAGUAAAGAGAGCCUGCUUAAGUAAAAUUAGUCAUGAAAAGUAUGGGGUCCACAAAUCUGGAGGUAGAUUUAAAUCAGGCAGAGGGCCCAAAAGAGGAUGGGGCAGUUUGAUAGAUUAUUCUCUUUACAUUUCCUCUAAGCUUUGAUUUUUUUCAAAACAUCAAUGCUGUGACCAUGGACUUAUGGGGAUGAGGUGGGGAGGUGGUAAGGAGAGGAGAGCUCAGAAUGUGUAGAUCUCUUAGCUGAAAGAGCUGCUGGUGUACAAGGGAGGUGACUGCAUAGUUAUUUAUGAGACCAUCGGCAAACUCGGAGGCAUCUUGUUUUUUGAAAACUAUCUUCAGGAAAACCAGGGCUCCCUAAAUAUUAUGGCACAUAGUACCAUUUUCUGAACACUUAUGAAUGCUCAGAAGAUAUAUAAUUCUGUCAGAGAGUUACUUAUUUAGCCAACCUGUGUUUACUCAAUGCAAUUCUCUGGCUAACAGAAUAGGAGGCAGGGCGUGAGAGAAAGGUGUGAAAAUAAAGAUAGGGCCCCUUUCUUGAGAAGCACAUAUUCCUUAUGAAAAGAUGAUACUAAUACGUAGGGAUCAAUGAAGGCAAGAUCGGAGGCAAUACAUAAGGCAGUAUGGUACCACGUAUAAAACCUGUAAAUGGAGACCAACAGGGAAGGCCAAAGCCCCCUGGGUGGGCUGGCUGAGGAAAGUGGCAUGAAGGAGUUGGGAUUUGAGUUGGAUCUUGAAAAGGGGGAGGAUGUCAGGUUGGCAGAGGGGAAGGAAGGCACUGUCGGUAGAAGAAUAACCAGCUGAUGAGGGAAUAGGGAAUAGAUGUACUGAAUUGGCACAAAGGGAAAGAUUUGAACUGAGUGGAAGUUGGGAGUUAGGGACAGGCCAAAGUGAGAGUACACAAUCCUAUUAGCCAGUGUUGUAUUGAUUUUUUUUGUUUUUUGAGACAGGGUGUUGCUCUGUCACCCAGGCUAGAGUGUGGUGGCAUGACCAUGGUUCACUGCAACAUUGACCUCCUGGGCUUAAGUGAUCCUCCCACCUCAGCCUCCCGAGCAGCUGGGACCACAGGCGCAUGACACCAUGCCUGGGUAAUUAAAAAAUUUUUGUGGAGAAGGGGUCCCACUACAUUGCUUAGGCUAUUCUUAAACUCCUGGACUGGAGCGAUCCUCCCACCUUGGGCUCCCCAGGUGCUGAGAUUACAGGAGCGAGCCACUGCUUCUGGCUGAUUCUUGAUUCCACAGGUGAUGGGGAGCCACUGCAGAUGUUUGGAAAGGAGGAAUGACAUGACUUGAAUCAUAGACACACUUCAUUAGAGUUGGAAGAAUCCUUAGAGAGCAUAAAACUCAAAUCCUUCAUUGUAUAUGUGAGGAAACUGAGGCCCAGAGAGCAAAGAUGAUUUGUUGAAGGUUGUCCAGCAAGUUAGUGGCAAGGCCAGGUCUCUGAUACCACCCAGCAGUCCAGAGGCCCUUCCCUAAUGUUUCAGGGUCCUGUGCUCUUUGGCAUAUUCCAGUCUUGAGGACAGAGUCCAGGUCUGCUCAUGGUUGCUGUCUUCUGCUGACCCAGACUCUGCUUCUGCCUCGUCCCUGCCACAGUCCCUGUUUUCUAUCUAAGAUUUGGACAUCCUUGUGAGAUGGAGCUUCCUUUUGGUGCAGAGAGCUAAGUCCAAACAAUGAUUGUAUUCAGAAUGACUGGGGAGUUGGAAAUACGGCUGAUGAGUAAUCUAUCAUACAGCUUGGACAUUUGUUCUUUCAUCAAAUAUUUGCUGAGCACCUAGUAGGUAACAGGCACUGUGCAACAUGCUUAGAAGACAACUGGGUUUUUAGGCUAGUGGAAAAAAGAGAAUGAGAACAUAGCUUAGGAAGUGACAUGGGUACAGAGAGCACUGACCCAGUGUGGAGCAGGGGUGGGGAAGGCAAGGAGCAGUUGGGCAGGCAAAGAGAUAAUGGGGAAGGAAGGAGGGAGAAAGAGAGAAAGGGAAGAGAGAGGGAGAGAGAGAGAGAGGUGAUUUCAGGGUUUGCACGAGGCUCAGUGUGUCUGAAGCAGUGUGUGCUGGCUUGGGAGAUUGGGAGAUGGGGCUGGAAAGGUAAGUGGAACAGACUGUAAAGUCUUUUAUCGACCAUUUAAGAAGCUUGGAUUUUAAAUAGCAAAGAGUGGGGAACAACAAGUGUUUACAGAUGUCUACUCUAUCCCAGAUAUUGUCCUAAGCCUACUACUAACCUCAGUCAGUUUUUAAAGCAACUCUAAGAGACUGGGGCUAUUAUUAUUCCCCUUUUACAGAUGAGAAGCCUGUGCUAGAAAUGAGAGUCAGGAUUGAAACCAGGUAGUCCAGCUUCAGAGACCAUGCUUUUUAGCACAGCCCCUGGCCUUUGUGGCCUCAUUUAAGGGUUUCAGCAGAGAAAGGACAUGGCCAGAUAGAAAUAUUGGAAUGGCAGAAGUAGCUGGAAUCUCCGAAAGACUGACUGACUGACUCUGACAGGAUCCGGGGCUGAAGGAAGGAGGCGGUGGCCAUGGAGUUAGGUGAGCUGCUCUACAACAAGUCUGAGUAUAUCAAGACGGCAUCUGGGAACAAAGUCAGUCUCCAGUCAGUGUUGUGUGGAAGCCAGAACAUAGUUCUCAAUGGCAAGACCAUGUGAUGAAUGACUGUAUUAUCUGAGGGGAUCUGGAAAAGGUAAGAGUUGGACACCAUUGUGUUGUGAAAAGUUGUAGUGUCAUAAGGCCACCAUUCAAGAAAUUCAGCAAAGGCGUUGAAUUCUUUCCUUUACAUAUUGGGGACCAUGUCUUUAUUGAGGAAGAGUGUGUGGUCAACGCAGCUCAGAUUGGUUCUUGCAUUCAUGUUGGCAAGAACUGUGUGAUUGGGUGCCGGUGUUUAUUGAAAGGCUGCUGCAAAAUUCUUGACAACACAGCAUUACCUCCAGAAACUGUGGUCCCACCAUUCACUGUCUUCUCAGGCUGCCCAGGAUGCUUCUCAGGAGAGCUCCUGGAGUGCACUCAGGAGCUAACGAUUGAUGUCACCAAGAGCUACUAUCAGAAGUUUUUGCCCCUGACACAAGUCUAGCAUCUCUGCCUCAUGUCUUGAAUCUGCUUGAGCCCUAAGAUGAACCUGGGGACAAAGUAAGCUAGUCAGCACCUACAAAGAGCUCUUGUGUCUUUGACAUCUACCACCCUCCUUCUUUAAAAAAAUUUCUUUAGAAUUUCUCAAUCCUCAAGGCUCUAAGCUCUUAAGAAUUUACUAACAGAUGGACCAUCUGGAGGAGUUGUCUUCAAAUGCUGUGCUUACACCUUAUCUAUGACCAGUCACUUUGUACCAUUAUCUGUGGAACACAGAAUCAUGUGUUCCCAACGCUCCAGCCCCUUGGUCUUGUGCAUGGCUGGAUCCCACCGGAAACGGGCCUGCACAGCAGCAGCACCCUCCUGGUGUGGAGGUUAUGUAGCUGGUGCGCUGCUCACAGCCAUACACUGCCCAUGCCGAGCGCCUCCCACACAGGUAAUGCCCAGCUUUUCUGCUGUUAACACAUUUGGCCAGUUGUUGCAAUUGCUCAUAAUCCUGGGAAAAGGUGUUUGUGAAUUUUCAGAGCCCAGAUUCCUGUUGGCUAUUAAAACUUGAAGGGAGGGGUGAUUAGUGUUUCUCUCUCUUCUUCCUAAAAGGACCUUAGCUGUCCUAGGGUAGUUAGUAAAAGGCUUUUUACCAUUUUGACCUAGGGCCUUUGGCUUUCACUAAAAGUGGGGACCUCAGCAUCCCAGAUUUUUCUUCUGCCAAGUGUUAGAUUUGAUUCUCUCAUGUGGAUGCGUUAGUCAGGUGGUUACUCCUUGCCUCAAGGUACUUACCUUAUUUCAUUGAAGACAUCGCAUUUGUGAACUCUUGCUCCCUGGCCUAGAAAAAUUCAGCCUACCCUGUAUUUGCCAUAAACUCCACAAUUCACACCAAAAUGUCUGUACUUAGAGACCAUUUGCAUCUAUACAUGAAGGGCUCUUGAAAUCAGUUUGUGGGCACAGAGCCCCAGGAGUAAAUGAAGUUGCUAGGGCUGUUCUGACCAUCUCCUUCUGGCCAACAGCACAACCCUUCCUGGUUCUGCUCUGACCUCUUAGCUUAGAAGGAAGAUUUAGAAGUGAGGGGCUGAGAAGGUUGGCCUUGCUUAAUGCUCUGAUCUGUAAGUGAAUAGGGCAGAACAGUUCAGCCUUGAAGGUUAGAAUUUAGCAGGAGCUAUCCUGACUUAACAUCCAUUUGUGGGGUUUGCAAAAUAGAACAGCUGUAUGUAAUCAUUUCCACUAUUUCCAUGUAGAACUCCUUUCUAGUUUGUCAGUUUUUAAAAACAUUUAUACAUUAAAACCACCAAAAUAUAUAGCUCAGAAAAGAUGGAAGUUAAUUUCUCUCUACCUUAACAGUGCAGAGAUAGUCACCUGGUCCAGGCCAGGCAAGUGGCUGGCUCCAUGAUGGCAUCAGGCACCCAGGUUUCUACUGUCUUGCCAUGUGACCACAGUUACCAACAAGGGAGGCUGCAAAUUUAGUUUCUACUUGGGCAGCCAAAACUCUGAGGAAGGAGAUUCUGCUAGUAAAAAGGAGUGGGGGGAGAAUGGCCACUGGGAGACGACAAGCAAACUCAACCAGGCCUCUGUGUUGGCUUCCUUUCCUCCUGCUGCACGUGAGCCUUCUCUGUGCCAUUUGGGGCCAUAACAGCUGACAGCUCCAGACCUGCAUCCUCCCAGCUUGAGGGUCCUGAAUAAAAGGUUUCUUCCAGUCCAGUUCUAAUUCGGAAACUCCCAAAGUUCUCAGUGGUUUGUUGUGAGUCCCCAUGCCCUCUUGGAUCAGUCACUGUGGCCAUGCGUGUUUGGCCACGUGAUUAAUCCAAUCUGGGUCAUGACCUUUUCUCCUCCAAAACAAGGUGCUAGGAAGACAAAAACAAUAGCUACUAAGAACAAUAGGAGUUUAUAAUUAUGUGCUGAUGUAUUUGAAGAUGUUGAUGGUCGUGAGUGUGUAUCCUCGGAAAGGCCAGCUGGACUCUGUCUCCAUGGUGGCUCUCACCCUAGGGACCUAGGAACAGUCUGUCACCACAAAUUACUUUUAUAACCCUAGAGAAGAAAGUCUCCUUGUCCUCAGAAUACUUCCUGAAGAACAACCAGAUGGGAAGGACCUUGAUUGGGACUCUUUCCAGUGGGCUUGGGGCAGAGGGAAUUUAAUGGCUCACAUAGCUGAAAAGGCAGGGCUAGAUUGGGCUUUGGGCUGCAUCCCAGAACUCCAAACAGGGAUCUGUCUCUUCGGCUCUCAGCUCUGCUUUCCUUUGAGUUGGCUUUAUUCUCGGGCUUCAUGGUGUGGCCCCACAGCACCAGUUAUUGGUAAAAAGAGCUCCCAUUUGCUGACAGAACUGCUGGAUUUAGUUCUCAUUGGUCCACACGAGGAAGGUAUCCAGCCUCAAGUCAUCACUCUGGCCAAAAGAUGGAAUACACUGAGUGGACAGGCCUGGCAUGUAUCCACAGAGACUGAGAGUUGGUGCUGAUGGUAUGGUGGUGGAUGAGAUUACCAGGAGAAGGGACAAAUGGGUGCUGGGCAGGAAAAAGCAUCAGCUGUCCAGUUUAGGCCUCUCCUCUUUCCCUGGCGUCUUCACUUUCCUCCCUAUCCCUGCUGUCCCUUACCCUCUGCCCAGUCUCUCAGUACGCCUGGUCUUGGGAGGUGCCUUCUGAGGAUGCUCCUGGCACGGGUACCUGAGCCUGGAUUAGAGGCCAGGGGGAGGAUGUCACCUAGCCAAAGUGGGUGUUCAAUAAAGAACCAUUUGGAGAUGGUUAAAAAAAAAGAAAUGUUAGAAUGACCACUCUGGCCACAGUGAGGGAAGACCUGGGCCAGGUAAGGAAAAUGAGCUGUGAAGAGCUGCCCUUGAAAAGGGUGGGGCUGUAGGAAGAAAAUCAUUAUCUUCAGCAAACUGGAAGAUGCUGCUAUCUCUGAUUCUGGAAGUGGCAGUUGCUUCCUUCACAGUGCGGUCAGGAGAGCCUUAUGCACACUGAGGCUUUUUAGCUGCUGGAAUAGAUGCACAUUUGUGGGUGUUUAGGAGAAAGUAACAGAGCUGACUGAGGAAAUGGAGGAGGGAUGAUGACAGUCAGAAUUAUGUAUGACUGACCCAAGUGCCUCCCGAGGGCUACAGUGGAAGGCACUGGAAAAAGUCAGAUGGACAGAAAGCAGGAGGGCAUGGGGCAGAGGAGGAAGGUGCAGCACCAGUCUACACACCCUUGGUGGCAGAGAACUCUGUCAGUAUGCCCCAUGCAGGAGCAUCGUUCCCCUUAAGGCAGAAUAGGGAAUAGAGGCAACAUUUUGGGUGGACAUUAGGAAACACCCCCAGCAGCAAGGGGAUGCGGGGAGAUGAUGACCCCUGAGUGUCCAAUCAGCUCCUCUGUCAGGCGUGAGUCAGCCUCAAAGAGGAGCUUCCCAAGCUCAGCUCUGGAUUCUGGCCAUACAGAGGUGGCCUGGCCCCUCACUCAUGGCUCUGCUCCUGGGGCAGAGCCUCUAGGGAGAAUAACGCAGAGAGGCAAUGGGCUGGGAGAAGGCAGGAAUUCUGCAACUGGGGCUGACGUGCCAGUGUUCAGCUUUGCCUUUUCAGCGAUAAGGCCUGUCUGUUGCUGAAAGGUGGGAAGAUAAAGGAAUAAUGGCCACUGGGCCUGACCCAGGAAGAUCCUGUUCUUCACCCUUCACAGCCUAAAUUACUAACACCUAACACAAGGCUUAGCAUGCAAUUCAUGCUCAAAAUGCCUGUAGUGCACAUCAGGAAGUCCUGCAAAAUCAGAUUGAUAGCUGGAAAUAGUGACGGCAUGAGGGACCGACAGAUAGGAGAGGUCAAAAGUGUAUACAGAGUUUUGCGUUUUGCAAACCCAGACUGGGGAAGAGUUGAGUGGGCAUCAGUCUCGCUCUGGAGUGGGACAGUGGCUUCUGAGACAGGACACUUCCUUUAUAAUAAGGAAGCCUCUGAGACACUCCUCUUUUGAAAACAGAGAGAAGGGACUUGCUUAUUGGGUUAAAAGCUCAUCUUGUUCCAAGUCUUUGCUAUUGUGAAUAGUGCCGCAAUAAACAUACAUGUGCAUGUGUCUUUAUAGCCAUAAAAAAUGAUGAGUUCAUGUCCUUUGUAGGGGCAUAGAUGAAGCUGGAAACCAUCAUUCUCAGCAAACUAUCACAAGGACAAAAAACCAAACACCGCAUGUUCUCAUUCAUAGGUGGGAAUUGAACAAUGGGAACACAUGGACACAGGAAGGGGAACAUCACAAACCGGGGACUGUUGUGGGGUGGGGGGAGGGGGGAGGGAUAGCAUUAGGAGAUAUAUCUAAUGCUAAAUGACGAGUUAAUGGGUGCAGCACACCAUCAUGGCACAUGUAUACAUAUGUAACAAACCUGCAUGUUGUGCACAUGUACCCUAGAACUUAAAGUAUAAUUAAAAAAAAAAAAAAGCUCAUCUUGUAAGAAAACCCAGGUUGGCUGUGGACUUUUCAUGGGGAGGAUGCUGCAGCCUCCCUCCCUCCUGCUGCAGGCUGACUCAUUCCCUUCUAGACAGACAGAUUGUGUCCUGCGUGGGAGUUGCGAUGCAGAGCCCAAAGCUGUUCCCUGAGAGUUACAGGAAUUACAACCUGCUGAAGGGAAUAAUUGUUCUAAAUAUGUUCUUUUUUAGUAUAUGUGCGCUGAAGCGAGCACUAAAUAUCUUCUUUUAAUGAGACUUUAUUUUUAUUAUUAUUUUAUUAAUGGAGUCCUAAGAGGAAACAGCAAGAACCACUGUCUUUAGAAAACCAUUUGCUUUUCUCUUUGGAGGUGUUUGGUCAAUUGGCUCUGAAUUCUAAACCCUCCAGUCAGGUCAGGCCUGACUUUUAGUGCCCCUGUGUUUGGAGAAAAUCCUGGGCUAAAAUCCCCCAAUAAGGCUGCUGCCUUGGGAUCAGAGUCUCUGGGUGAUCUCCCCUGGUACAUAGCAUCACCUAGGGAUCUAAUGCUUAGCAAGGACCUGAAGAAGCAUUACUGGUUCAUUAUGGUUAGGCCCUGUCAGAACAGAGCUGACGGCUGUCAAGGCCUCCAGGGCGAAGAAAAGAGCACAUAUCAUACAUGUUAUUUUUCCAUGUGCCCAGGCAGAAAACUCACCUCCCCAGGAGGAAGCUGGGCUGGCAGAGGUCCUCAUUGCUUGUGUGUGGCACCCCCUAACGUCAGAUGAUUGCUUUUGGUUCUGUUCUGCUAGAGAUGUGGCAAGAGCUAAAUUUUUAAACAUUCCUAGUUUGCAAAGCUUGGGUACUGUGCCUGGUGGUUGCUGAUAAUGCAGGAGACGUCCAGGCCGAUUUUUACUAAGUGAAUAUGAACAAGAGAGGGUCCUGAACAGCAAGAUCUCCACUGGGGGUCAUCAGGAGGUAGGCUGCACACAGUGCCCAGCUGGCUUGUUAAUCCAGCGCAAUUUAACAACUGUCUGCUGAGUGCCUGUUGAAGGCCUGGGGCGGGAAGGUGGAAGGUAGGCCCACCUCAAGUUCCUCGCGGAUAGCAAAUGCUUCUUUGAUAAAAGUGCUGAGAACUCAGCUUUAUCAUGUAUAAAAUGGAAGUAAUAGAAACCUAAUGGUGUCCUUGGGAGAAUUUAAAGGUACAAUGCAUGUAAAGUAUGUUAUACAUGCCUAGCCCAUAAUAGGUGCACAUUAUUUGUUGAAGGGAUAAAUGAAUGAAAGUGAAUCAAAGGAACAAAUAUGAGUCAAGCAUGCAUAUUGUGCUGAUAGGUAGUAAGUCUGAGCUAGUAUUUUAACCCACUUCCAGGUGGGGGAAGGUGCAGGUUAAUUUGGGAUGGGCUGACCUAUUACCUAAGUCAGAGAGUGUGAAGGCUGAGAGCUGAUGAUCAGAAAUGGGUCUCAGAGUGUGUGUUGGGUUGAGUUGGAGGCACACAGCCAAAGUGUUAUCGGACCAAGGGGGCUUUGGGAGAUUCUUGGGAGCCAGGGCCCAGCAUUAGUGGUGAUCAGAAAGGCAGGGCCAGAUCAAGGGUGUGCAGACAGAAUGGGCAAAUGAACAGUAAAUUUAGAGGCCUGGGGCCCUCCCUGCUGCUGGAGAAGUGUUUGCACGGGUGGGCCUUGUCUUUGAAAGGAGGUGGAGAAAGGAAGCUCCUUCUAUGAGGCACUUAUAUGCAUUUCUAUCUCCCUGGCUUGAGCACAGAGAAGUAUUACAUUAAUACAUACUGGUUUAAAGGUUGUUUCUCUUUCCACUGCUUCCACCAGUUUACAGCUUAGCCUAAGAGAUAAGGGUGUAGACUGCGAGCCAGGUUCCUCUGUCUACCUCUGCUCUGCCUCUUACUAGGUGUGCAGUCUUACUAGGCAACCUCCUUCUGUCUCAGUUUUCUCAUUUGUUAAAUGUGAAUAAUACCUCAUAGGGCUGUUAUAAGGAUUGGAUGAGUUACCGUAAGUCAAAUGCUGAGAAUAGUCACUCAUGCAUUGCAAUUUCUCCAGCAACUCUUAGGCAUUAUCAUUACCUUCACCACUGAAAUAAAGAUCCAUAGAACUCUGGCAGGUAACCAAGCAAGAGAGUCCUGAUUGGGAGGAAGGACCUUUGGAUCUCAUCCUACAAUGUUGUAUCCUAAUGCCUAGAGCCUGGCGCACAGCAGGUACUCAAUAAAAAUUUGUUAUUGUUGAAUUGUAUAGAGUGGGGUUGCUGGUGCAGGGUAGGGAAGGAAGGACAGGACUCAGGGUCCUUUAGGCAAUUGCCUGACUUCGGGAAAAUGGGGCAGAAAAUUGGUGAGGGUCUCCGGACUUGGGACCCAGGCACAGCUGGGAUUCUGGGGCCACAGACUUGGGGACUGAUCAGUGUGGGGAGCAGGAGAGGCAAGGGAGAGGGAAGAGUGAGAAUGAUUCUGACUGUGGCCGGCUCCAUUCUUGGAUAGGCAGAAAUCUGGUUUUGAGUCUGUAAUCAGCUCUUUAACUUGCAUAGGAUAGGAGUGUUGGGUCAAUAUUUCUGGUUAUCAGGUGUCUUUUAUGUAAAAUGGAAAUGAUAAUACCAAAAAUAUGUCCUGCUUUUCUAAGUCAUAUGUUUGUUUGUAAGUAUCAAAUAAGGCUAUACCUGUGAAAGUGCUUAAUCAACUGUAAAUUACCAUGGAAAUAUUAUGACCAGUAUAAUUUUCUAUCUCAUUGAAACCUUGAUUCCUUAGCAUGUCUUCAGCUUUUCUGUCUCUGGGAUAUUUGCAUUUUCAGAGACAGUCUAGAAAAAAAGCCUUAAUUAUGUCAACGGAACGAAUGGUGAAGACUGAAAUAUCAGAAAGGUGCUUCUGUGCCAGAGAACUUUCUAAUCCUGCACACGAGUACUAUGAUCGCUGGGAGAGAAGAGCCAGGGAAGAAGGUUUAAUAAAAGGGUGGCUGCAAAAUGCUUCUAACUUCCAUUACUGCUAACCUCCACAAUUCUGUCUGUCCUUCUUUUUUAAUCUCACUAAGUUGUAAAGUGUCACAGAGGGUCAGGAUGGGAACUCUGUCCGUGAGGCUAAGGUGAGGGCAGGAAUUGGCCUUGGGGGACUUCUGUCCCCAGAGAGUACAGUGCCUGUUGCUUUUAAAUAUCUCUUACAAAUAAAUUGAAAAUAUCAUGUUGCAGUAAUAUUGAAUCCACUUGCACACACGCAAAAAUACCUCCAAUGAACCCUCCAGGGAAAUAGUCCCCUUCAACUUCUUUCCUUGUGCAUGUAAACCUCUUUUUUCAAUAUUGAUCAAUCUACGUACAGCAAAUCAUGUAUAGCAGGAAGCAACCCCUUCUUUUUUGAAAGAGGGAGUGUCAUUCUCUUUCCAUUUGCAAGAUGAUUGGGAGAGAUAAGUUUGAUUCUUAUUUCCCACAGUUUAGUGAGGAAUGAGUGGAACAAACUAAGGAAGGUUUUAGUUAGGGAAGUAACACAGUUCUGUAGAGAAAUCACCACCUAGUUGCAUUUAAGGAGCUGUCAGCCUUGAAAGUUAAAAGAGUGGACUGGGCGCCGUGGCUCAUGCCUGUAAUCCCAGCAUUUCGGAGGCCAAAGUGGGAAGAUCGCUUGAGCCCAGGAGUUCAAGACCAGCCUGGGCAACAUAGCAAUACCCCAUCUCAAAAAAAAAAAAAAAAAAAAAGUUAAAAGAGUGAGUGAAUUUCAAGUGCUUCCUGGCAGGUGAGGUAUCCGCUGUUUAUCCUCACAUAGAAAUGUUUUCCACCCUCGUUUUCAUUGACUAUCAGAGCUACCUGACCAGAAGAAUUGCACUUAUGCAUAAUUUCCCUCUCAGCUCUCUUUCUCAUGGAUGUUGAUUAGUUAAUGUGUCCAUUUGCUUAAAGAUAUUAAUUGAGCAGCAUUUGAUUUUAUAGUAUGGCUUUUAAUAGUAGCAAAGUGUGUGGGUUCUGCUAAAAAUUUACCCCCAAAUGCAAAGUGUCUUUCCUCUUUGCACUCAAUUUUAAGGAAUUCCAUUCAAACAUUGGUAAGAGAAUACAUUACUGCGAAGAUGCAACGAUGAGGACGGGGCAGCAGAAUGGGGACAAUGUGGCUGGGGCAUGGGGUCAAGUCCAAAUGAAGAGGUCAAGCUAUUGAGAAAACAAUUGAGGGCAAGAUUGAGAGAAGUGUGAAGGAAACAAAAGAAGGGGUGAGUUCCAGUGCAUGUGUAGAAAUGAGGAUACAGACUCAGAUGAUGCUGCACUCACAAAUUCUUGGUAGGGAGGGCAUCUUGAACCUAAGCAGGGCUUGUCCUAGGGUCUAGACAUGAAGAAUGAGAGAAGGGCCUGCUGGGGAUCUUUCAGCAUGCCGACAUGCUUCUCAGCCUCCUCCUGUUCAUGGUCUACAUAGAGAAUGAUCGCCAUGGUAUGCCACAUUGAGGUAAACUGAGGGGCUGCUGUCUGCACAGGGGGUCUGGCUCUGCAGCUUUUGACCUUCAGUGCCAGCCCAGCAACCCUGGAGACUUCAAGGGAAGGAUAUCUCCUGGCACACCAGUGAUCUAUCUGCAGCAUGCUUGUUGGAAAGCUCUGGUUUGGGGAACCUACUUGUCUUCCCCAAGGGAGAGAGAACUGAGCUACACAAGCUUUUUUUGAAGAAGGCAGGUGAAUCACGAGGUCAGGAGAUCCAGACCAUUUUGGCCAACAUGGUGAAACCCCGUCUGUACUAAAAUUACAAAAAUUAGCUGGGUGUGGUGGCACGUGCCUGUAAUCACAGCUAUUCAGGAGGCCAAAGCAGGAGAAUUACUUGAACCAGGGAGUGGGAGGUUGCAGUGAGCUGAGAUCGCGCCACUGCACUCCAGCCCGGUGACAGAGCAAGAUUCCAUCUCAAAAAAAAAAAAAAAAAGAAAAGAAAAAAAGAAAAAUGACUUGGAGGUCAGAGAUAAAGGACAAUUUUGAGUGUAGCAUUCAUUCUGCAGGACUCCGUCUAGCCCAGGCCACUGCAUGUUAAACAAUGUUUAUUGGGCUCCUGCAAGUGCCACACUGUGUGCAGUGAACAGAGUGCUCCACUGAAUAUUGAAGAAGAGGAAACUGUUUUCUGAAAUCUCGGAGACAGCCCAGCCCAAAGGUGGGAGGGCUUCUACUGCAUUAUUGGUCAGACACUGUGGCCCUGGCUGUGGUGGGAUGGGAGGCAUUGGCACAUCUGUAGCUCUGGCACCAGGAGCAGCUUCUUGGGGCUGGCACUGCAGAUUCAGAGGAAACAACAGGAGGCUGUGGCCUUGGCCAUGCUGAAGGCUUUUCUCCCAUGGUGUCCGUGGAGACUUUGUGCUUUGGCAUCACCUUUGAGUUUCAGAGACCUCAGGCAUUGCAGCAGGGGAGAAGAAAAAUGGCUGAAGCCAUGUGGUGGCCGAGAGGACACUUUGGCACUGGGGAAGGGCCACAUGACCACACAGUGAAAAGGUGGCUGCCUACAAGCUGAGAGAUGAGGCCUCGGAAUGAAACCUGCCU